rnacentral:rRNA from 1 species
CAGCCGCCGCGGUAAGACAGAGGAUGCAAGCGUUAUCCGGAAUGAUUGGGCGUAAAGCGUCUGUAGGUGGCUUUUCAAGUCCGCCGUCAAAUCCCAGGGCUCAACCCUGGACAGGCGGUGGAAACUACCAAGCUGGAGUACGGUAAGGGCAGAGGGAAUUUCCGGUGGAGCGGUGAAAUGCGUUGAGAUCGGAAAGAACACCAACGGCAAAAGCACUCUGUUGGGCUGACACUGACACUGAGAGACGAAAGCUAGGGGAGCAAAUGGGAUUAGAUACCCCAGUAGUCCCUGUCUCUUAUAC